rnacentral:rRNA from 1 species
GACGAACGCUGGCGGCGUGCUUAACACAUGCAAGUCGAGCGGUAAGGCCCUUUCGGGGGUACACGAGCGGCGAACGGGUGAGUAACACGUGGGUGACCUGCCCUCAGCUCUGGGAUAAGCCUGGGAAACCGGUCUAAUACCGGAUAUGACUCCAUGACGCAUGUUGUGGGGUGGAAAGCCUUGUGCGGCUGAGGAUGGGCCCNCGGCCUAUCAGCUUGUUGGUGGGUNAUGGCCUACCAAGGCGACGACGGUAGCCGGCCUGAGAGGGCGACCGGCCACACUGGGACUGAGACACGGCCCAGACUCCUACGGGAGGCAGCA